rnacentral:lncRNA from 1 species
UCAGCAAUAUCCUCAGGAGUUCAGAGACAUAAAUGUCGAGAUCAAGAUAACUUCAUGCAAGGGCAAAGAAAAUAAAUACCACAUGUCAAUUAAUCUUGCAACCAGAUCCAUGCAGGACAAUGUAACAACAAUUUCAAUCAAAUAUAAGUUUAGGACACUGUAGGGAGUGUUUAGAGGAAUUGGCAAUGAACUAAAUCUUAGGUAAAAUACAACACGUGAAUAUUCUUAUAGGAUUCAUAUGAAAUUACAGCACUACUUGUAAUAACUGUGAUAGAUUAGAGUUUGCUGAGUGAUUAAAAAUCAGAUCAACUUCCUGGUAUGUUGCUGAUGUCGAAUAUUUUGGAAACAGGACAUGCUAGAAUAAGUCACAGCCUCUGAAAUUCUGAAUAAAUUAAAAGAAGAGAAGGUAACAAGCCAUAAUGCAAAAUUCUACAGGGAUAGUGCAGUUUCAAGGGUAAACUGGGUCCAGAUCAGAUCACAGGGGAAAGAUACCCACUCAGCAAGUUUCUGAAUAUAGCAGUGAGCUGCUUCGGAUGUUCCGGCUAAAUCCAAAUCUGCAGCAAGAAGAAAAACACGAUGGGCAGAUAAAAUUAGUAGGGAAGAACAUAUGAUGUGUAGAUGCAGAAGAAAUUCAUGUGGUGCGUGCAAGUUAACUUACCAUUUGGGAGAAAAACUGGAGAUGCAGUAUGGUACUCCCUCCGUCCGGGAAAAGUUGUCCACAGCGUAGUGUAAUGUCAAUUUUUCAAAAACACCCUUAUAACUUCAAAUUUGUUACAAACAGGUCACCAUACAGGUCGCGUCUUCUUCCUUCUUCCUCCGCCCAUCGCCGGCGCGCGUCGCCAGGCCAGUCGUCAGCCCAAGACCUGCGCCGCCCAAUUGCUUGCUCCGCCGCCGCACUGGACGUGCUCCUCCGCGACCCAGGACCCGCGCCGCCCUGCUUUCUCCGUUGCCGCACAGGACGUGCUCCUCCGCGGCCCAGGACCCGCGCCGCCCUGCCUGCUCCUCCGUCGCCAAGGACCUGCGCCGCCCUGCUUGCUCCGUCACCGCACAAGACGUGCUCCUCCGCCGCCCAGGACCUGCGUCGACGAUAUCCCCUCCUUCCUCGCAGGGCCUGCGCCGCCGCCGGCCAGGACCCGCGCGCGCCUGGGUCUCGAGCGCCUGGACCACGAGCUCCCGCCGCGCCUGGACCACGAG